GCUGGCGUGCUCUUCCUCAGAGGCAUGUUUAUGAAACAGAAGUUCUGGUGGAUUUUAAAGGUGUUUUCCAUUUUGUGUUAGAGAGUGACAUUUUUUUUCUAUGAGAGAAAAGAAAUCUUUCAGAGAAGGACAACUCUACCUAAACUGUCUAAUUUGCUCCAUGCUAGACCUAAGGUGGUAUGUGAUGGUGAAAUUGAAGCACAUGAAGAACAGGACCCAAAGAAGCUGUCUCUGGUUCAGGGGUUUAUCUUGAUUGAGCUUCCGUAAGGAAUGUCAUGCAUCAUCACCUUGAAUCACUUCCUGCAGACUCAACCUAUAAUCAACAAGCACAGGCUCCCUAGCAUAUCAAUCACAGGUUGAUCCAAGUCUGAACUUUACUGAUUUCCAGUCUAUCAUCAUUGUAAUUUCCCUCAAGAGAGAAAUCCUAUUCAGCUGCGAUGGAAAAUAGAACUCUUGGAGAAUGCUAACAAAAUAUUCAAAAAUAUGGUUCGUAAGAGUUACUGAAUG